rnacentral:tRNA from 2 species
GCCCUUUUAACUCAGUGGUAGAGUAACGCCAUGGUAAGGCGUAAGUCAUCGGUUCAAAUCCGAUAAGGGGCUUUCUUUUGAGGUUU